CUUUUUUUUUGUCUUUGUGUGUUAGUAUGCAUUUAGCUGAACUCCAUCAAAUACUGACUUUGUGCUGAAUGUCAACAUGAAAAUAAUGCUUGCCAUAUUCUUUGUCAUGUUGCCAGGUCUCAUACGAAGUAAGAAAGUUGACCAGACUCCUCAGGACCUGAUAAGGAACCUCAGAGAUUCUGCUGUUUUCAAUUGCUCACAUUCAGACAAAAGCUUUGAACUCAUCCUCUGGUAUAAACGAUCUGAUGACAAGGGAUUCAUUUUUUUAGGCUAUCUCAAUAAUAAUUUUCCAAAUCCUGAAGAUGAGUACAAAAACAAAAUCAGCUUGGAUGGAGAUGGCAGAAGUAGCGGCACUCUUACAAUAAAAGAUCUGACAGAAGACGACAGUGGAGUCUAUUACUGUGCAGCUCGGAGACACAGUGUGUUAAACCCUCACAACCCAACACAAAAACCCCCAUAUCACAUAUUAAUAUCUGUAGUGUGCACUAAAACAGGCAACACGGUUCACCUGCUACAAACCACUAAACAAACCAAACUACUUCUCCACCCCUCCAUGCUUAGAGGUAAAUAUUUGUGACUUAUACUGUCACUCAAAAUAGUCACAUUAUUAGGAACUGAUUAUAAAACACUGACUAUCACAUCAUAAAAUAGGUCAAGUCUUUUGUACAUCUCUGUGGAAACUGAUUUAAUAAUACAAUUUGGGUUUUAACCUUUAGGGCAUUCUUCUAAAAUAAUUUAAAUAAAGAAACAUGUGGUCUGGACUACAAGCUUUAUACUCAAAACUGUACAUUAUAGUGUAAACAACCAAAUAGUAGGCUUAUAUAUACAUAGAAUGUGAGAUAGAACACAUUACUAACAAACAUGUUUGAUGCCAUUGUUUAAUUCAAGGAAGUCUAUCUAUGGAAAUAACUAUUCAUAAACAUUCCAUUUUAUCUAGUGGCACUUUAUAUCACCCAUUUCACUCCCAUUUGCUUACAAUCAAAUGGGAAGUGAUCUGUUAUCUAUGAUAAUAUAAUUUAUUAUUUGCAACGCAAAGGUG
rnacentral:lncRNA from 1 species